rnacentral:miRNA from 1 species
ACUCAGAGCCCAGUGUAGAUCCU